GACGAACGCUGGCGGCGUGCUUAACACAUGCAAGUCGAACGGAAAGGCCCUGCUUUUGUGGGGUGCUCGAGUGGCGAACGGGUGAGUAACACGUGAGUAACCUGCCCUUGACUUUGGGAUAACUUCAGGAAACUGGGGCUAAUACCGGAUAGGAGCUCCUGCUGCAUGGUGGGGGUUGGAAAGUUUCGGCGGUUGGGGAUGGACUCGCGGCUUAUCAGCUUGUUGGUGGGGUAGUGGCUUACCAAGGCUUUGACGGGUAGCCGGCCUGAGAGGGUGACCGGCCACUUUGGGCCUGAUAUCCGCCCCCGCCUCCUCCGGGGGCCAGCAGUGGGGAUUUUUGCACAGUGGCCGGACGCUGUAUCCACCACCCCCGCGUGCGGGAUCCCGCCUUCCGGUUUUUACCCCCCUUUCCCCUGUUACGAAGCGUGCUUGGGGGUAGUGGGUAAAGGGCCCCGGCCUACGUAGGUC
rnacentral:rRNA from 1 species